UGGGGAAUCUUGCACAAUGGGCGAAAGCCUGAUGCAGCAACGCCGCGUGAGGGACGAAGGCUUUCUGAGUUGUAAACCUCUUUCAGCAGGGACGAUUAUGACGGUACCUGCAGAAGAAGCACCGGCCAACUACGUGCCAGCAGCCGCGGUAAUACGUAGGGUGCAAGCGUUGUCCGGAUUUAUUGGGCGUAAAGAGCUCGUAGGCGGCUUGGCAAGUCGAAUGUGAAACCUCCAGGCUCAACCUGGAGAUGCCAUUUGAUACUGCCAUGGCUAGAGUUUGGUAGGGGACCACGGAAUUCCUGGUGUAGCGGUGAAAUGCGCAGAUAUCAGGAGGAACACCAGCGGCGAAGGCGGUGGUCUGGGCCAAUACUGACGCUGAGGAGCGAAAGCGUGGGGAGCGAACAGGAUUAGAUACCCCCGUAGUCC
rnacentral:rRNA from 1 species